GACGAACGCUGGCGGCGUGCUUAACACAUGCAAGUCGAACGGAAAGGCCCUGCUUUUGUGGGGUGCUCGAGUGGCGAACGGGUGAGUAACACGUGAGUAACCUGCCCUUGACUUUGGGAUAACUUCAGGAAACUGGGGCUAAUACCGGAUAGGAGCUCCUGCUGCAUGGUGGAGGUUGGAAAGUUUCGGCGGUUGGGGAUGGACUCGCGGCUUAUCAGCUUGUUGGUGGGGUAGUGGCUUACCAAGGCUUUGACGGGUAACCGGCCUGAGAGGGUGACCGGCCACAUUGGGACUGAGAUACGGCCCAGACUCCUACGGGAGACAGCAGUGGGGAAUAUUGCACAAUGGGCGGAAGCCUGAUGCAGCAACGCCGCGUGCGGGAUGACGGCCUUCGGGUUGUAAACCGCUUUCGCCUGUGACGAAGCGUGAGUGACGGUAAUGGGUAAAGAAGCACCGGCUAACUACGUG
rnacentral:rRNA from 1 species